GUAAAACUAUUAAAAGUGGAGUUCGAGAGAUUUUGUUCUGCAUGAUAUCCAAAUUCCAAGAAAACAAGAAGAAGAAAAAAGCUGAAUUCUACCAAAAACAAGAUUGUUUGUGUGAUUUAGGAAAUCUGGAGGAUUUAGAGGGAGUCGAUGCAAUAGUGAGAACUAUUGGUAAGCUCACUGAUUUAGAGUAGAAAGAUAGAAUAAAAUCCCAGAACCAGUACUUUAAAGAAAUCGCUUCCAUCACUGGUGUAAGUGUAAUAUCAAUACACAGAAUAAAAAAAGAAGGGGCAAUAAAUCAAGGUGUCUGGAUUACACCUGGAAAAAAACGACCUCAUAAACCAACAGUGUCUCAUUUGGACAAUUUUAACAUGGAUGCUAUUCGCAACAAAAUUAAUGAAUUUUAUAUUGUUAGAAAACAAGUUCCAACAAUGAGAACACUUAGGGUUAGGGUAGUAGGACUCCUUUCUCCGCAAUUAGACUCCUAAUUGGUCCGUUGUGCAUACGAGUCCUGGCUAAUUUAGCCAGCCUAGCUCCUUCCAGAAGCACAGAAGUCUCCUGGGCACUUCACAGGCUUCCCGGAGCGACCUCACCGUUCCGAGGAUUUUUUCACGUUGAUUAGCCAUUGAGAACACUUUUGCUGGAAUUAAGAGAAAUCAUAGGAUUUACUGGAUGUCGGGAAACUCUUCGCCGAAUAUUAUUGGCUAAUGGCUAUGAAUUUAAGAAAAGCAAAAAUAAACGUUCUUUGUUAAUUGAGUGCAAUGACAUAUCUGCCUGGAGACAUUACUAUGUAAGAUCUAUAUCGUUGAAACGUGCAGAAAGAAAGCCAAUAAUUUAUUUAGAUGAAACUUAUGUCCAUAAAAACUACAAGCCCAAAAAAUCGUGGCAAGGUCCCUCUACAAGUGGUGCUAUUGAAAAUAUUUCGUCUGGAAAAAGGUACAUAAUUGUACAAUCAGGGUCGGAGAAAGGUCCUGUGCCGAACUCAUUAUUAGUAUUUAGCACUAAAUCAAAAAUGACUGAUUAUCACCAUGAUAUGAAUGCUGCCAACUUCAAUAAGUGGUUAGAAGAAAAGCUCCUACCCAAUUUAAAUGAGCCAAGUGUAAUUGUUAUGGACAACGCCAGUUACCAUUCCGUUAUAGUAAAUAAAGCCCCUACGACACAGAAUCGCAAACAUGAGAUAAGAGAAUGGCUUACUUUGAAUAAUAUUCAAUUCGAAGAGUACCAUACGAAAGCAGAACUGCUAUAUCUAGUAAAACGGUAUAAACCAGAGCCAAUAUAUGAAGCCGAUGCAAUUUUAAAGCACAAUGGUCAUGAGGUAUUGAGACUACCUCCAUACCAUUGUGAUCUUAUUAAUGCCAUUGAGCUGGUAUGGAGUCUGGCAAAACGCAGAGUAGCAAAUAAAAAUAUUAAAUUGACUACAGAGCAGUUAGAAGAAGUGUGGAAGAAAAUGACUCAUCAUAUUGUACACGUGGAAAAUAAAUAUGAAGAAAGGGACAGGACUACAGAGGAACAUUUAGAAAGUUUCAUAAUCAAUGUGAGAGACAGUCAUAACAGCAAUGACUCUGAUUAAUCUAUGCAUAUUGAUUUUUUGGAUUCUGAUUUUGAUUAUACCGAAU